rnacentral:rRNA from 1 species
UACGAAGGGGGCUAGCGUUGUUCGGAAUUACUGGGCGUAAAGCGCACGUAGGCGGAUACUUAAGUCAGGGGUGAAAUCCCGGGGCUCAACCCCGGAACUGCCUUUGAUACUGGGUAUCUCGAGUCCGGAAGAGGUGAGUGGAAUUCCGAGUGUAGAGGUGAAAUUCGUAGAUAUUCGCAAGAACACCAGUGGCGAAGGCGGCUCACUGGCCCGAUACUGACGCUGAUGCACGAAAGCGUGGGGAGCAAACAGG